rnacentral:rRNA from 1 species
GAUGAACGCUGGCGGCGUGCCUAACACAUGCAAGUCGAGCGAUUCUCUUCGGAGAAGAGCGGCGGACGGGUGAGUAACGCGUGGGUAACCUGCCCUGUACACACGGACAACAUACCGAAAGGUAUGCUAAUACGAGAUAAUAUACUUUUAUCGCAUGGUAGAAGUAUCAAAGCUUUUGCGGUACAGGAUGGACCCGCGUCUGAUUAGCUAGUUGGUAAGGUAACGGCUUACCAAGGCGACGAUCAGUAGCCGACCUGAGAGGGUGAUCGGCCACAUUGGAACUGAGACACGGUCCAAACUCCUACGGGAGGCAGCAGUGGGGAAUAUUGCACAAUGGGCGAAAGCCUGAUGCAGCAACGCCGCGUGAGCGAUGAAGGCCUUCGGUCGUAAAGCUCUGUCCUCAAGGAAGAUAAUGACGGUACUUGAGGAGGAAGCCCCGG